CUGCAUUACUUGUUACAUCAUUAGGUAAUUGCAGAGACCGGAACUGGCCAAGCCUAUCCAUCAGAUCUUGUGAAGAAACGAUGGAUGGCUUUGGAAUAUCAAUGGAGGAUGUUGAUACCACAUUCAUGGUGCAUGGAAUAAUGCCCAACCUCACGGAGUUUUCCUUUACGCCUUUGGGAACGAGCUUCAGGGGUUGUAUAUGCCCAAGGACCUCUUCUCUUGCCACGACGUCUACCUGUACCUGUGCGAACUAUGCCAUUGAGGCCAGUACUUCUGACACCAACACCAACUUUUGUUGCCUCAUUAGGCUCUGGAACAAUUGUUCAAUACUACCAUGAUCUGGAUACAUUUCAAAGUGUCGGGACAUUCGGUUGUAUCCAAGGUAUAUUUUCUGACACGUUGGACAUCGGAAAUGUGAUGAGAUUUUGCGUUUUGGUACUGCCAGUCCUGUGUAAAAUGAGUAUGGUGAAAUGAAUCAGGUAAUGAAAUUUAAAAUUUCUGAAUGUGUACAAUACUUGAAACUGUAAAGUUUAGAACUCAUCAUUGCCAAUCUAAUUUCAUGCAUGCAGUAUAGGUUCGUGUGAGCAUAAAACUUAAAAUACCUACUCACAGUGACAGCUUGUAACUAAACUGAUAUAGUAAACAAUGUCAGCAUUGUAUAAAUUCAAUAUCUGAACCAUUUUUAAAUAAUGAAAAUAGUUUAACUGCAAGGAUUAUGCAAUAAUGUGGUGUGGAAGACAGAAAUUAUGGUCUGUUUUAUGGUAUUAAUCCUAAUAUCGCUCAAAGAAUGAGAAAAACAUUAAGUGCUGUAUUUAUAAUUCUGCUUAUUCCAUAAAAUUAUUGGUUACCUGUACUAGCAUAUCACGUGUUGCAUCUUUGGGACACUUCAUUUUAUCCUGUCUUCAUGUUAUACACUACAGGUUCGUGAAAUAUCAUUAAAGAAUAUUAAAAUUACUCCCUCCAGCUUUGGAACAUUUUAAGAAAUAUUAGCAGUAGUACACCUUAAAUGCAUGUUCAGAAAACAAACCUAAUAGUGUUUGUAGUUUUACGUCGUUCUGAAACAUACUACUGACAUGUAUGAAUGCUCACACUGGUUCAGGGCAUGUAUUUUAGGUAUUCAUGAUUUUAUUUUACUUAUCUUUUGAUUGUUAAGAAGUAUUUACUAGUGUAUCACAAAUGUUCAAACACUGUGCAUAGUUUCUUCAUUAUGUUACAUGCUGCAACUUAUGAACUUUCACAUGAAUUUAUUGCCUUCCUUUACCCUACAGACCACAAUGAAACCAAGUAAAAUUCUGAAUACUAAUAUAUUUGUAUAUCUGAAUUUCAGCUGAAAAACUGAAAUGUAAUCCUGAAGUAUGACAUGAACUGAACUUUAAAACAAAAAAUUGUAAAGAAAAGCAUGGAGAAAUGUUGAUGCAGCUGGCCAAAGUCAAGGCCGAGUUCCAACUGCACUAAAUCCAGGGCAAAUGUUCUGCCACUAACUCGACCCUGGACACAAACCUGGCAGCAGCUCCUUGCUGUCGGUCUUCUCUGGUGGAUCCUCAGCCUCAUGUUCACUCAUCUGGUAGUCUGAAUAGCCUCCAUCAGAAUCAUCCAUAUCGGCGUCAGCAAAGUCAAGAUGGUGCAGCCUCUUAUAGUCUUUCACCAUAUGUCUAGGUGGACGAGACAAGCGUCCAGAUCUUGUCCGUGCUAACUGUUUUUUCCGUUCACCCUGCUCAAAUUAGUAGCAUUAGAUUCUGAGAUCCAUAAACUAAUAUACUUUGGUUUAAGGAAGAAUUGUCACAGCAACGGAAGAGAUCUAUUAUUGUACCUAUUCAUAGACUAAUAAUUACCAGCUUCACACAAAACUUACCCAACAAGUGUGUGACAAGGUUAACUAGUGUGUUGCUGAGAUUACUUCGGAUCAUUGGUAUGAACUGAAUGAAACAUACCAGCAAUGGGUGUAUGCCGAUGGGAUUUUGUAAACAUGGUGAUGAACCUUCAGGUUCCAUGAAAGCAGCAAAUUUCUUGAUUAGCUGCAUAACUAUCAACUGUUCAAGGAAGACCCUAUGCCAUGGAAUUAGUUAUGUAUUAAUGCUGAAAAUUAAUUUAUUAAUUAAUCCACAAGGAGUUAUUAUACUGAAAGUCAUUUUGUGUAGAAUACAAAAGUAAUUUACUUAC